rnacentral:rRNA from 1 species
CAGCCGCCGCGGUAACAACACAAACCGUUCAGGGUACAAACACUGCCCCUAUUACCUACAAUGCUGGAGGAAUUGGCGGGGGAGCACAGAAAUCGUUGCGCUCAACGUAACGACGUGCAGGGUAGACUACAGAACUAGGGACCAGAGGAAGUAGACGGUAUUCCUGAGGGAGCGGUAAAAUGUGAUAAUCUCAGGAGGACCACCGAUGGCGAAGGCAGUCUACUAAUAUGGAUCCGACGGUGAGGGAUGAAAGCUAGGGGAGCGAUCCGGAUUAGAUACCCGAGUAGUCCUAGCCGUAAACGCUGCAUGCCAGAUGUUACACAAUCUUCGAGAUUGUGUAGUGUCGAAACGAAGGUGUUAAGCAUGCCACCUGGGAAGUACGGUCGCAAGGCUGAAACUUAAAGGAAUUGGCGGGGGAGCACC